rfam:Ricinus communis cultivar Hale ctg_1100012349992, whole genome shotgun sequence.
AUUCGAUGUUGAGGACAGCUAGCACACAACUUCUUAAACCUCUCCCAAAACUCAUAGAGAGACUCUCCAUUAUAUUUCCUAAUACCACAUAUCUCUUUUCUUAUGUU